UUACGGCCAUAUCACGUUGAAAACCCGGUACCGGUAGGAUCACCGAAGUUAAGCAACGUCGAGACCGGUCAGUACAUAGAUGAGUGACCGCUUGGGGAAUACCAUGUGCU